rnacentral:rRNA from 1 species
UGAUAUAAGGAAUAAUUAUAAUCUAAUUUAAAUAAUAUUUAAUGGAUGCAGUAACUCUGACUGUAAUAAAGUAGCAUAAUUAAUUGUCAUUUAAUUGAUGGAGAGAAUGAAUGGUUACACGAAUAUUUCACUGUCUUAAAAAAAAUUUUUUAAAAUUGAAAUAAUAGUUAAGAUGCUAUUUAAAAUUGUAAGACGAAGAGACCCUAUAGAGCUUUACUAUAAAUUUUCUUUCUUUUAAAAUAUAAAAAUUAUUUAAUUUAGAAAAUUUGGUAGUUUAGUUGGGGCGACUGUUUUUUAAAAAUAACAAAAAUAAGCAAUAUAAUAAUAUUAUUUAUUGUAUAAUCAAACAAUUUAACAAUUACUAUAGUAGGCUAUAAUGACCCGUUAUUAUAUUAAAAAAUAAAUAACGAAUAAUUAAUAAAAGCUACCUUAGGGAUAACAGGAUAAUUUUGUUUUAGAGCUCAU